rnacentral:rRNA from 1 species
GACGAACGCUGGCGGCGCGCUUAACACAUGCAAGUCGAACGGAAAGGCCUGCUUUCCCUUGUGGAUUGCGGGUACUCGAGUGGCGAACGGGUGAGUAACACGUGAGUGAUCUGCCCCCAACUUGGGUAUAAGCCUGGGAAACUGGGUCUAAUUCCCGAUAGGACUGCAGGGUGGUGCCUGUGGUGGAAAACGAUUUUCUAGUGGUUGGGGAUGAGCUCGCGGCCUAUCAGCUUGUUGGUGGGGUAAUGGCCUACCAAGGCGGCGACGGGUAGCCGGCCUGAGAGGGUGGACGGCCACAUUGGGACUGAGAUACGGCCCAGACUCCUACGGGAGGCAGCAGUGGGGAAGAUUAGACAAUGGGCGGAAGCCUGAUGCAGCGACGCAGCGUGGGGGAUGACGGCCUUCGGGUUGUAAACUCCUUGCGACCGCGAGGAAGCCACCUGGUUGGAAGGGUGGUGACGGUAGUGGUAGAAGAAGCACCGGCUAACUACGUG